rnacentral:rRNA from 1 species
AGAACGAACGCUGGCGGCAGGCCUCAAACAUGCAAGUCUAGGGGGUGUAGCAAUACAUCACCGGCGGACGGGUGCGUAACGCGUGGGAAUGUACCUAUUGGUUCGGAACAACUGAGGGAAACUUCAGCUAAUACCGGAUGAGCCCGAAAGGGGAAAGAUUUCUCGCCAAUAGAUCAGCCCGCGUCCGAUUAGCUAGUUGGUGGGGUUAAAGCCUACCAAGGCGACGAUCGGUAGCUGUUCUGAGAGGAAGAUCAGCCACACUGGGACUGAGACACGGCCCAGACUCCUACGGGAGGCAGCAGUUGGGAAUCUUGGACAAUGGGGAAACCCUGAUCCAGCCAUGCCGCGUGAGUGAUGAAGGCCUUCGGGUUGUAAACUCUUUCGACGGGGACGAUAAUGACGGUACCCGUAGAAGAAGCUCCGGCUAACUUCGUGCCAGCAGCCGC